GUUUUAUUGAACGCAUGAUAUGAUGGAUGCAAGUUGAUGUUUGUGAACGCAGCGGUAUAUCGAGAAUGGAAGGGGAUGACGUGUGAGAUGACAGAAUGACAGAUGGAUGAACGACGACGAACGAAGCACGAGCACGACGGAACGAUUAAAAUUUAUAUGAAUAGUAUCGAAAUAAAACGUGGAAGUAGUAAACGCGAAACUUUUAUUAAUUGUCUGAAGGCUGCAUCCCACAUAUAUAAAUAGGCAGACGAGCUCUCGGUCCGUCUGGUAUUAUGUGGCUACUGACUCCUUGAUACAUUGUAACGUGAACUGAACAAUGUUUAAUUCUCAUCGGAAUUGAGGCUAUUUCGGACCGGAAUAACCGGAACUACCGGUUGGAAGAGAGGAUAGCCGUUCGAAGAGAGGAUUCGGAUUUGGAGCAGAAAUAGAAAGGCACUCGUAUGAAGGAGCCUCAAGUCACAACAUAAUAUCUUAUCAUCGAUAAAACAAUGUGUUUCAGAACUUUAAUAAAAGACACUUAUGAGUUUUUAUUGUUUGUUGAUGUAUUUUUAUCAAAAAACAUUUUUUUUUUAUUUGACAUAGCGUCAUGUUUAAUAUUAUUGGAAUCAGAUAGCUUUGUUCGUUUCUAUCUAUGUAUUUCAAAAGACGAUUAAAUCGUUUACGACUUAAGAUAAA